CCUACGGGAGGCAGCAGUGAGGAAUCUUUCACAAUGGGGGCAACCCUGAUGGAGCAAUGCCGCGUGCAGGAAGACGCUUUUCGGAGUGUAAACUGCUUUUAUUACCGAAGAUUAUGACGGUAGGUAAAGAAUAAGGACCGGCUAACUACGUG
rnacentral:rRNA from 1 species